rnacentral:misc_RNA from 1 species
CACAUUUCGUGCUGUCAAAUUGACAGCCCGUUCAACGAACUUCCUGAAUUCACAUAAUUCGUUCUUUCAUUUUUCAAUCGUUGAGCCGAAUCACUCGGUUAAAGAAGUGGAAAGAUGGUCAACGGACGCAUACCGUCUGUCUUCUCGAAGACAUAUGUGACACCACGUCGCCCUUAUGAAAAGGCACGUUUGGAUCAGGAGUUGAAAAUCAUUGGUGAAUAUGGUUUGCGCAACAAGCGUGAGGUCUGGCGUGUCAAGUACGCUUUGGCUAAAAUCCGUAAAGCUGCUCGUGAGCUGUUGACUCUGGAUGAGAAAGACGAGAAGAGAUUGUUCCAAGGUAACGCUUUGUUGCGUCGUUUGGUACGUAUUGGUGUGUUGGAUGAAUCCCGCAUGAAGCUCGAUUACGUGUUGGGUUUGAAAAUUGAAGAUUUCUUGGAGCGUCGCUUGCAAACUCAAGUCUUCAAAUUGGGUUUGGCCAAGUCCAUCCAUCAUGCUCGCGUUCUCAUCCGUCAAAGACACAUUCGGUAAAUAUCUGCGAUAGUACGCAACUGUGGAUUCAUGAGAAUUUGUACAAAAUAUGUUCAGUAAGACCACUUGGGAGUCGAACAGCAUAGUCUGCACCGGCUCUCAACGUCUUUUCAAAAUUAGUUUGCAUAGUAAAAAAAAAACUUGUAAAAGUUUGAGCAAACUAUGAAACGCCGUUCGCAGACAAGUGGUAAACAUUCCAUCGUUUGUCGUGCGUUUGGACUCGCAGAAGCACAUUGAUUUCUCACUGAAAUCGCCCUUCGGUGGUGGCCGUCCAGGUCGCGUGAAGAGGAAGAACAUGAAGAAGAACCAAGGAGGCAGUGGUGGUGCUGCUGAAGAAGAGGAAGAUUAAACUAUGUUUUAUUAAAUUACACAAAUUGUGUAUGACAACAUUUAAUAAAUAGUGUUUCUCUUUGAAAAA